UGCGUAGGCGGCGCGGUAAGUCGGGUGUGAAAUCUCGGAGCUUAACUCCGAAACUGCAUUCGAUACUGCCGUGCUUGAGGACUGGAGAGGAGACUGGAAUUUACGGUGUAGCGGUGAAAUGCGUAGAUAUCGUAAGGAAGACCAGUGGCGAAGGCGGGUCUCUGGACAGUUCCUGACGCUGAGGCACGAAGGGCCAGGGGAAGGCAAAACCGG
rnacentral:rRNA from 1 species